rnacentral:rRNA from 1 species
GAUCCUGGCUUAGGAUGAACGCUAGCGGCAGGCUUAACACAUGCAAGUCGAGGGGCAUCGGGAGUAGCAAUACUGCCGGCGACCGGCGCAAGGGUGCGUAACGCGUGAGCAACAUGCCCGUAUCAGGGGGAUAAUCCAUGGAAACGUGGUCUAAUACCCCAUAGUAAUUAUGUAAGGCAUCUUAUAUAAUUUAAAGCUUUGGUGGAUACGGAUUGGCUCGCGUGACAUUAGCUAGAUGGUAAGGUAACGGCUUACCAUGGCUACGAUGUCUAGGGGUUCUGAGAGGAAGGCCCCCCACACUGGAACUGAGACACGGUCCAGACUCCUACGGGAGGCAGCAGUGAGGAAUAUUGGACAAUGGAUGGAAAUCUGAUCCAGCCAUGCCGCGUGCAAGGAAGACGGCCCUAUGGGUUGUAAACUGCUUUUGUAUGGGAGCAAUAAGGGCUACGCGUAGUCCGAUGAGAGUACCAUACGAAUAAGCACCGGCUAACUCCGUGCCAGCCGCGGC